AGUGAACGCUGGCGGUAGGCCUAACACAUGCAAGUCGAACGGCAGCACAGCAAGAGCUUGCUCUUACGGGUGGCGAGUGGCGGACGGGUGAGGAAUACAUCGGAAUCUACUUUUUCGUGGGGGAUAACGUAGGGAAACUUACGCUAAUACCGCAUACGACCUACGGGUGAAAGCAGGGGAUCUUCGGACCUUGCGCGAUUGAAUGAGCCGAUGUCGGAUUAGCUAGUUGGCGGGGUAAAGGCCCACCAAGGCGACGAUCCGUAGCUGGUCUGAGAGGAUGAUCAGCCACACUGGAACUGAGACACGGUCCAGACUCCUACGGGAGGCAGCAGUGGGGAAUAAUGGACAAUGGGCGCAAGCCUGAUCCAGCCAUACCGCGUGGGUGAAGAAGGCCUUCGGGUUGUAAAGCCCUUUUGUUGGGAAAGAAAAGCAGCAGGUUAAUACCCCGCUGUUCUGACGGUACCCAAAGAAUAAGCACCGGCUAACUUCGUG
rnacentral:rRNA from 1 species